rnacentral:rRNA from 1 species
AUGAAACUAGAUACAAGCGAGCGGCGGACGGGUGAGUAACACGUGGGUAACCUGCCCAAGAGACUGGGAUAACACCUGGAAACAGAUGCUAAUACCGGAUAACAACACUAGACGCAUGUCUAGAGUUUAAAAGAUGGUUCUGCUAUCACUCUUGGAUGGACCUGCGGUGCAUUAGCUAGUUGGUAAGGCAACGGCUUACCAAGGCAAUGAUGCAUAGCCGAGUUGAGAGACUGAUCGGCCACAUUGGGACUGAGACACGGCCCAAACUCCUACGGGAGGCAGCAGUAGGGAAUCUUCCACAAUGGACGCAAGUCUGAUGGAGCAACGCCGCGUGAGUGAAGAAGGGUUUCGGCUCGUAAAGCUCUGUUGGUAGUGAAGAAAGAUAGAGGUAGUAACUGGCCUUUAUUUGACGGUAAUUACUUAGAAAGUCACGGCUAACUACGUGCCAGCAGCCGCGGUAAUACGUAGGUGGCAAGCGUUGUCCGGAUUUAUUGGGCGUAAAGCGAGUGCAGGCGGUUCAAUAAGUCUGAUGUGAAAGCCUUCGGCUCAACCGGAGAAUUGCAUCAGAAACUGUUGAACUUGAGUGCAGAAGAGGAGAGUGGAACUCCAUGUGUAGCGGUGGAAUGCGUAGAUAUAUGGAAGAACACCAGUGGCGAAGGCGGCUCUCUGGUCUGCAACUGACGCUGAGGCUCGAAAGCAUGGGUAGCG